rnacentral:rRNA from 1 species
AUUGAACGCUGGCGGCAUGCCUUACACAUGCAAGUCGAACGGUAACGGGCCUUCGGGUGCCGACGAGUGGCGAACGGGUGAGUAAUGUAUCGGAACGUACCUUUCAGUGGGGGAUAACGUAGCGAAAGUUACGCGAAUACCGCAUAUUCUGUGAGCAGGAAAGCAGGGGAUCGCAAGACCUUGCGCUGAUUGAGCGGCCGAUAUCAGAUUAGCUAGUUGGUGAGGUAAAGGCUCACCGAGGCGACGAUCUGUAGCGGGUCUGAGAGGAUGAUCCGCCACACUGGAACUGAGACACGGUCCAGACUCCUACGGGAGGCAGCAGUGGGGAAUUUUGGACAAUGGGGGCAACCCUGAUCCAGCCAUGGCGCGUGAGUGAAGAAGGCCUUCGGGUUGUAAAGCUCUUUCGGCCGGGAAGAAAUCGUAUCAGCUAAUACCUGGUGCGGAUGACGGUACCGGCAUAAGAAGCACCGGCUAACUACGUGCCAGCAGCCGCCGUAAUAC